GCGCCAGACUCCUACGGGAGGCAGCAGUGGGGAAUAUUGCACAAUGGGGGAAACCCUGAUGCAGCGACGCCGCGUGAAGGACGAAGUAUUUCGGUACGUAAACUUCUAUCAGCAGGGAAGAAAAUGACGGUACCUGACCAAGAAGCCCCGGCUAACUACGUGCCAGCAGCCGCGGUAAUACGUAGGGGGCAAGCGUUAUCCGGAUUUACUGGGUGUAAAGGGAGCGUAGACGGCCAUGCAAGUCUGAUGUGAAAACCCAGGGCGCAACCCCGGGACUGCAUUGGAAACUGUGCGGCUGGAGUGUCGGAGAGGCAAGUGGAAUUCCUAGUGUAGCGGUGAAAUGCGUAGAUAUUAGGAGGAACACCAGUGGCGAAGGCGGCUUGCUGGACGACGACUGACGUUGAGGCUCGAACGCGUGGGGAGCAAACAGGAUUAGAUACCCCAGUACAC
rnacentral:rRNA from 1 species